rnacentral:lncRNA from 1 species
AUUCAGUUAUAAAUUUAAUUAAUUUUAUUGUUAAGGUACGGUGGUGCCCUCUGCGUUUAGUUUCAUGUAAACUUUCUCGUUCAUAGAAAACGACAGGAUGUCAUCUCUACAUAUGACGUCACAUCUGUCACGGAUCUUCUAUGCACAUUUAUCCUGUUUGUUUUAUUAUAUUAGACGUUGAUUGCGGGGCCAGGACCCCGUGCAAGAUUUUAUAAUACGCGAAUCCGGAUGCCCUUUCCACCUCUGCGGGGGGAAAACACGUGUGGUGCCUUUCGGUAAAUACCCUCUGGAACAUGCAAAAUAGCAUCCACCACCGGCCAAGAAGAGGACAUUCCGGUAAAUUGCAUCACCGUAUAGCAUUGUUCGUGUUGGAGAAAGUAUGCCGCAAGAAAUUGGUUGACAAUAAUUUUCUGCUCUCCGAGCUGAUGGUAUGCGUUAAAAAUGCGAGAGGUGUGUCGAAUCGUACGAAAAAGUGAGAAGAUAUCUGAGGGAAUUUCACGCUGUUACCGUGAUUGCAUGCGGUAGGUUAUGUGAAGGGAGGAAAAUUGAAAAGCAAUAUUAAUAAUAGAACUGUGUUGUUUUUGUUAACAAUAGAAUUGUGCUAUUUUUUAAUUAACAAUUCUUUUCUGCACGCUAAAUCUGUAAAUCCCGAUGAAGAAAUUGCGAAUAACACCGUUUCUAUCCCGAAGAUGAAGCAUAAAAACAGAAGAGUAACCUGUAAAUCGUGUCGCAGUAGGACGCGUGCUUGGCACGGUACGCACGCGCUUGGUUGCACGCGAGCGUAUCGCGCGUCCCCAAAGAAAAGAGGAAGAAUCGGUUCACAGUCGGCUGAAGAAGCAACGAGUGCUAUGGGCCUGGUAGCCCGAGGGGGGGCAGGUGGGGCGGGGGCCUAUCGGAGGCUACCGUGAGAACGAGGCAAGGCCUUAUGUCCCAGACGGACCCCUCGACCGGCACGGGGUCCAGGAUCGCCGCGUUUCACGACGGGGAGGGGGCAGAACGACAGGUCGGGCCCCGGCCACAGGGCAGCCAUUCGGGGCCCGUGCUCGCGACAGAGACAAACAUAGGCGCGAGCCUCACACGCGACUAGCACACGUCCUCGUCCCGAGCCGAGCGAGCGCAAACCGCGCUUCUUUUUUUUCUCCUCUGAACUAGCUUGCUCCUUCUUCCUUCAUCGCCAUCUUUCCGAUACUUCGCGAGGGAAUGAUUGAUGCGACUUCUUCUGGCGGGGACCGCGUUAAUUGAUGCCUGGUGUCGCCUACCACGUGACGUUGCGAAGAGACUUUUUGGUUGUGAUGCUUUUGCGGAAUAGGACCCACUAGUUUUGUGCACUAGGAUUACUAAUUCACAGAAUUGAUAUAACUAGAUCCGUUCAUUUUAAAAAAUAGGAUCCAUUUUUGAAAAAAAUUAAGAUAUAUAAAACUUAAUAUAUUUUUGUCUCUGAGCAGUCUAUAGUAAAUAUAAUUGAAAUUCCCUAAUAUUUGGGCAAUGGUUUAGGUGAUUAAUGGUAUUGGAUGUUUAUUAAGAAAGUGGUGCAAGUGCAUUUUUGUAAAAAUUAAUAUUUCUAAAAAAUUAACACAAUCAAAGUAUAAAUACACAGUUAAAUAUUAAUAAAUAUAAAUACAUGCCAAGAUAUGUUCUAAAAUAUCCUAACGAGCAAUUAUUGAUUAUAAUUGAACGUGAAACGUUCCAUCGUGAAACGAAUUUGUCGAAAGAUACAGGCAGAUGCGAUGCAGUUCCUGUUACAUUUGCCGGUGAUCGAUGGUGAACCAUGAAGCAGGAUCGUUUAAGAACGAGCCACAUUACACAAACACCUUUUCACCAUGUAAAUCCGGUCGACAUGACUGCCAAUCUUCGAUGCAGUCGCUUAUCUACGAACGAGUCAGACCAAUUAAGCCAUAAAAUAUUUGCAGAACGCAUAUACUCGAAAAUACACGACUCGUUGCGACGGUCCGUUAAGAAAAUGUUAUGGCAGCUUUCCCUCGCGUAUCUUCAUCUCGCCACGUCUCACGUGGUAUCUUUUAUGCGUUUAUGCGCGUACUUGCGCAAUUGAGUUUAUUGCGCAUGUGUGUCUGCGUAUGGUGUUCGGUACAGGGCGAUGAUUUGAAAUUUUAGUGAUUAUUAUAAUUGUUGUUUUAUUCGUAUUGUUAUUUUAUGGGAAUUAUGGGGAUUUGUUGAAUUCAGGGAUUUCGGGAAUUUUAGAAUUUGGGAAUUUGGAAAUUUGAG